rnacentral:rRNA from 1 species
ACGCUCGACACCUACGGGGGCAGCAGUGGGGAAUAUUGCACAAUGGGGGAAACCCUGAUGCAGCGACGCCGCGUGAGCGAAGAAGUAUCUCGGUAUGUAAAGCUCUAUCAGCAGGGAAGAAGAUGACGGUACCUGACUAAGAAGCACCGGCUAAAUACGUGCCAGUAGCCGCGGUAAUCUGAGCGGGCUGGCAAGGC